GCGGUGGAUGAUGUGGUUUAAUUCGAUGCAACGCGAAAACCUUACCCACCUUUGACAUGUACGGAAGCCUUUAGAGAUAGGGCGUGCUCGAAAGAGAGCCGUAACACAGGUGCUGCAUGGCUGUCGUCAGCUCGUGUCGUGAGAUGUUGGGUUAAGUCCCGCAACGAGCGCAACCCUUGUCAUUAGUUGCUACAUUCAGUUGGGCACUCUAAUGAGACUGCCGGUGACAAGCCGGAGGAAGGUGGGGAUGACGUCAAGUCCUCAUGGCCCUUAUAGGUGGGGCUACACACGUCAUACAAUGGCUGGUACAAAGGGUUGCCAACCCGCGAGGGGGAGCUAAUCCCAUAAAGCCAGUCGUAGUCCGGAUCGUAGUCUGCAACUCGACUACGUGAAGUCGGAAUCGCUAGUAAUCGUGGAUCAGAAUGUCACGGUGAAUACGUUCCCGGGUCUU
rnacentral:rRNA from 1 species